rnacentral:rRNA from 1 species
GAUGAACGCUGGCGGCGUGCCUAAUACAUGCAAGUCGAGCGAACGGACGAGAAGCUUGCUUCUCUGAUGUUAGCGGCGGACGGGUGAGUAACACGUGGAUAACCUACCUAUAAGACUGGGAUAACUUCGGGAAACCGGAGCUAAUACCGGAUAAUAUUUUGAACCGCAUGGUUCAAAAGUGAAAGACGGUCUUGCUGUCACUUAUAGAUGGAUCCGCGCUGCAUUAGCUAGUUGGUAAGGUAACGGCUUACCAAGGCAACGAUGCAUAGCCGACCUGAGAGGGUGAUCGGCCACACUGGAACUGAGACACGGUCCAGACUCCUACGGGAGGCAGCAGUAGGGAAUCUUCCGCAAUGGGCGAAAGCCUGACGGAGCAACGCCGCGUGAGUGAUGAAGGUCUUCGGAUCGUAAAACUCUGUUAUUAGGGAAGAACAUAUGUGUAAGUAACUGUGCACAUCUUGACGGUACCUAAUCAGAAAGCCACGGCUAACUACGUGCCAGCAGCCGCGGUAGUACGUAGGUGGCAAGCGUUAUCCGGAAUUAUUGGGCGUAAAGCGCGCGUAGGCGGUUUUUUAGUCUGAUGUGAAAGCCCACGGCUCAACCGUGGAGGGUCAUUGGAAACUGGAAAACUUGAGUGCAGAAGAGGAAAGUGGAAUUCCAUGUGUAGCGGUGAAAUGCGCAGAGAUAUGGAGGAACACCAGUGGCGAAGGCGACUUUCUGGUCUGUAACUGACGCUGAUGUGCGAAAGCGUGGGGAUCAAACAGGAUUAGAUACCCUGGUAGUCCACGCCGUAAACGAUGAGUGCUAAGUGUUAGGGGGUUUCCGCCCCUUAGUGCUGCAGCUAACGCAUUAAGCACUCCGCCUGGGGAGUACGACCGCAAGGUUGAAACUCAAAGGAAUUGACGGGGACCCGCACAAGCGGUGGAGCAUGUGGUUUAAUUCGAAGCAACGCGAAGAACCUUACCAAAUCUUGACAUCCUUUGACAACUCUAGAGAUAGAGCCUUCCCCUUCGGGGGACAAAGUGACAGGUGGUGCAUGGUUGUCGUCAGCUCGUGUCGUGAGAUGUUGGGUUAAGUCCCGCAACGAGCGCAACCCUUAAGCUUAGUUGCCAUCAUUAAGUUGGGCACUCUAAGUUGACUGCCGGUGACAAACCGGAGGAAGGUGGGGAUGACGUCAAAUCAUCAUGCCCCUUAUGAUUUGGGCUACACACGUGCUACAAUGGACAAUACAAAGGGCAGCGAAACCGCGAGGUCAAGCAAAUCCCAUAAAGUUGUUCUCAGUUCGGAUUGUAGUCUGCAACUCGACUACAUGAAGCUGGAAUCGCUAGUAAUCGUAGAUCAGCAUGCUACGGUGAAUACGUUCCCGGGUCU